CUAUCAUUUCCUCAUCUUUGUGUCUUCCUCAUCUUUUUUUCCGCCCCAAUUUCUUCUCUUGAUUUGGAGAUAAAUUUGUGCAGAAAGAAGGUUCUAUGAGCGUCUUUUAAUAUUUUUUGUUGCUGACUUCACCUGAAAUACAGUAAUUAUGAUUGGGAUGGAUUUUAACAUCUUGAACUUUAUAUAAACAAUCCCAAAACAACUGUGACUGGGUUUAUCUCACUUCCUCCUCCUAUUCCCUCUAAAACCGAGAAUUGGAACUUGUCCAAUUUAGAAAGAGAAGGGCAUUCUUGGUUGUUUGUGCAAGUGAACGUUGCUCCAUCUACAGCAAUACAAGGAUAGAUACAAGGAUCGAUACGGACAUGAGAUUCAGAUACCAUUUGUCAAAAAAUAGAACAGGGCAAGAUAUAUAAUAUUGAUGUUAUUAAAGUCAUCAAAAGUUUCCAAGCAAUUGAGAAGACAAACAGAUGACCGAGCCAUCUAGAAAACGAUCAAAAAUCAGCUACAGCUCCAAAGAACCAUCAAAAAAAGAAAAGUAAAAAAUAUAAUAUAAUGUACAAACCUUUUUACUAGACCUUUAAACAAAUAUAUAUAUAUAUAUGUAUGUAUGUAUGUACAUAUAAAUUAAUACUGUAAUGUAAAAACUCAUGAUUUUCUCUAUAAUAUAACAAUCUUUCCCGCAGCAAUGCGUGGGCAAAAAAACUAGUUUAAUCUAAAUGGCUGUAGAAAUAGUCUGAUAAUUUUAUCACAAGUUGUAAAAUUUAAAACCC